GGACUACUCGGGUAUCUAAUCCUGUUUGCUCCCCUAGCUUUCGUGCCUCAGUGUCAGGAAUCGUCCAGAGACUCGCCUUCGCCACUGGUGUUCCUCUUGAUAUCUACGCAUUUCACUGCUACACCAAGAAUUCCAGUCUCCCCUCCGAUCCUCCAGCCGGAUAGUAUCCAAUGCAGUUUCGAAGUUGAGCUUCGAGAUUUCACAUCAGACUUACCCGGCCACCUACGCACCCUUUACGCCCAGUGAAUCCGAACAACGCUUGGGACCUCUGUAUUACCGCGGCUGCUGGCAC
rnacentral:rRNA from 1 species